rnacentral:rRNA from 1 species
UGGGGAAUUUUGGACAAUGGGCGCAAGCCUGAUCCAGCCAUGCCGCGUGCGGGAAGAAGGCCUUCGGGUUGUAAACCGCUUUUGUCAGGGAAGAAAUCUUCUGAGUUAAUACCUCGGGAGGAUGACGGUACCUGAAGAAUAAGCACCGGCUAACUACGUGCCAGCAGCCGCGGUAAUACGUAGGGUGCAAGCGUUAAUCGGAAUUACUGGGCGUAAAGCGUGCGCAGGCGGUUUUGUAAGACAGAGGUGAAAUCCCCGGGCUCAACCUGGGAACUGCCUUUGUGACUGCAAGGCUUGAGUGCGGCAGAGGGGGGAUGGAAUUCCGCGUGUAGCAGUGAAAAUGCGUAGAUAUGCGGAGGAACACCGAUGGCGAAGGCAAAUCCCCUGGGCCUGCACUGACGCUCAUGCACGAAAAGCGUGGGGAGCAAAACAGGAUUAGAUACCCUGGUAGUCCACGCCCUAAAACGAUGUCAACUGG